rnacentral:rRNA from 1 species
UACGUAGGGGGCAAGCGUUGUUCGGAGUUACUGGGCGUAAAGAGUGCGUAGGUGGUGCCCUAAGUCUGUUGUGAAAUCUCCCGGCUUAACUGGGAGGGUGCGGUGGAAACUGGGGUGCUUGAGUGUGGGAGAGGUAAGCGGAAUUCCUGGUGUAGCGGUGAAAUGCGUAGAUAUUCGCAAGAACACCAGUGGCGAAGGCGGCUCACUGGCCCGGUACUGACGCUGAGGUGCGAAAGCGUGGGGAG